CCUACGGGCGGCAGCAGUAGGGAAUAUUGCUCAAUGGGGGAAACCCUGAACCAGCAACGCCGCGUGGAGGAUGAAGGUUUUCGGAUUGUAAACCCCUUUUGGUAGAGAAGAUAAUGACGGUAUCUAACGAAUAAGCACCGGCUAACUCCGUGCCAGCAGCCGCGGUACUACGGAGGGUGCAAGCGUUACACGGAAUCACUGGGCGUCAAGAGCGCGUAGGCGGGACAGCAAGUCAGAUGUGAAAUCCUAUGGCUUAACCAUAGAACUGCUUUUGAAACUGUUAUUCUAGAGGCUGGGAGAGGUAGGUGGAAUUCUUGGUGUAGGGGUAAAAUCCGUAGAGAUCAAGAGGAAUAC
rnacentral:rRNA from 1 species